rnacentral:tRNA from 1 species
GGGGAUAUAACUCAGUGGUAGAAUACUUGCCUGGCAUGUAUGAGACCCUAGGUUCAAUCCCUAGUACCACCA